UCAGUUGUGAAAGUUUGCGGCUCAACCGUAAAAUUGCAGUUGAUACUGGGUGUCUUGAGUACAGUAGAGGCAGGCGGAAUUCGUGGUGUAGCGGUGAAAUGCUUAGAUAUCACGAAGAACUCCGAUUGCGAAGGCAGCUCGCUGGACUGCAACUGACGCUGAUGCUCGAAAGUGUGGGUAUCAAACAGGAUUAGAUACCCUGGUAGUCCACACAGUAAACGAUGAAUACUCGCUGUUUGCGAUAUACAGUAAGCGGCCAAGCGAAAGCAUUAAGUAUUCCACCUGGGGAGUACGCCGGCAACGGUGAAACUCAAAGGAAUUGACGGGGGCCCGCACAAGCGGAGGAACAUGUGGUUUAAUUCGAUGAUACGCGAGGAACCUUACCCGGGCUUGAAUUGCAUUUGAAUAAAUUGGAAACAGGUCAGCCGCAAGGCAAAUGUGAAGGUGCUGCAUGGUUGUCGUCAGCUCGUGCCGUGAGGUGUCGGCUUAAG
rnacentral:rRNA from 1 species